GACGGAGGAUGCAAGUGUUAUCCGGAAUCACUGGGCGUAAAGCGUCUGUAGGUGGUUUAAUAAGUCAACUGUUAAAUCUUGAGGCUCAACCUCAAAAUCGCAGUCGAAACUAUUAGGCUAGAGUAUAGUAGGGGUAAAGGGAAUUUCCAGUGGAGCGGUGAAAUGCGUAGAGAUCGGAAAGAACACCAAUGGCGAAAGCACUCUGCUGGGCCGACACUGACACUGAGAGACGAAAGCUAGGGGAGCAAAUGGG
rnacentral:rRNA from 1 species